rnacentral:lncRNA from 1 species
AAACACCUAUAAAACAACCUUCCUUUCCCACUCCACUUAUCACCAAGACCUAACAGAGAGCCCCUAUACCGUUGGACUAAGAACCUGUGCCAGCAUGCAUAAAACUCGGCGUCGAAUUUGCAGCAACUUGGACGUUGUAAGACCACCCUUCCAUCCAAAAAGAGCACUUGAAUAAAGAGACUCCUACAAAUUAAAAGAUAAUUCCAUUGAAACAACUCACUCGAAACCUUACCAACCAACAGAUCCUCGUCAGCCCAAAUAGCAAACUGCAC